rnacentral:rRNA from 1 species
CCUACGGGGGGCUGCAGUGGGGAAUAUUGGACAAUGGGGGGAACCCUGAUCCAGCCAUGCCGCGUGUGUGAAGAAGGCCCUCGGGUUGUAAAGCACUUUCAGUGAGGAAGAACGCCUGGUGGUUAAUACCCAUCAGGAAAGACAUCACUCACAGAAGAAGCACCGGCUAACUCCGUGCCAGCAGCCGCGGUAAUACGGAGGGUGCGAGCGUUAAUCGGAAUUACUGGGCGUAAAGCGCGCGUAGGUGGCUUGAUAAGCCGGUUGUGAAAGCCCCGGGCUCAACCUGGGAACGGCAUCCGGAACUGUCAAGCUAGAGUGCAGGAGAGGAGGGUAGUAUUCCCGGUGUAGCGGUGAAAUGCGUAGAGAUCGGGAGGAAUACCAGUGGCGAAGGCGGCCUUCUGGACUGACACUGACACUGAGGUGCGAAAGCGUGGGUAGCAAACAGGAUUAGAUACCACUGUAGUC